ACCUGAUUGAGGGCAGAUUUUGUGAUACGACCCUCUUAUACUAGAAGGCCAAGCAAAUUGCUUCGAGGUCAUGAUUAUAUAGAUUUACUUGGUCCAGGUGGUGAUGUCUAGGACCAGCUGCAAAGCUAUGGCCAAUGGUGUUACCUCACAUUUGUGUUAUAAUAACUGGUCAAUUUAAACAAAUGCAUCAAAACUUUUGCAGGAGAUUGAAAUUAUAGGACCCACUAGCAGGACCUUGUGGAUCUCAGAGAGAAGAAAAGAAGUCUACAUGCCUGUCCCACUGAGAAAUGGAAUCCACUAAGGAGCCCUGGAACUUAGUGGUUGCUGUUGGCAGAUGUGGGCCAAGCCCCCAGCCCACUGUAGAUAGAGGGGUGAAUGACCCUGAGGAGUGAAUGACCCCAGCCACCCUGUGCUUCUGGUCAGUACCCAGACCACUGGUCCCGAAGAGGCCCUGCCAGUUGGUCAAGUGUAAAUGCUGUGCUUUGUUGUGGCAACCUUCUCGUCUGCACAGCCUGGAUGGCAGGACUGCCAAGGGACCCCUGGGCCCUAACCUGUCCUGGAAGAUGUACUGAGACAGAAUCAGCCAGGUGCACAAGUGCAUCGCAGGUGGCUGGGGACCAAGUGCCAUAGGACACAGGUGAAGGGCUUCAGCUGGCGUGCCACCGGGCAUGGGUUCUGACCCAGAGCUCACCUCCCUCUCAUUAAAUGGAGCCAUGAGGCAAGGUUUAAAUGAGCUACUCCUCCUGAUACCCUGCCUCCAGUCAUACCCCUGGUGGAAUGUCCUCCCAGCAUGACCAAGUUAGGCCAUCUGGCUGGCAGGGUAUGCUUUGACCAUCUGCCAGAGUUUAACGGAGCAGUCUCAGAUUGCAAAGCUGCCAUCCACAAAUGUCCCUACAAUUAGCCCAUCAACGUGUCCAGAAUCUACAUGCACCGUGGAUAGAGUCUUCACAAAACUUGGUCAUGGAUGCCUCAUGCUCCUUUGCAAGCCGCACGCCCAACGACCAGAUGGAAUUCCCUGAGAUCCACUCACCUGGCCAUAGAGACCACACUUACAAUGCCACCCUGACCUCGGCCCCUCACAGGUAGACUCAGGAUCUGACACCAGCCAGACACACCAGCUCUGCGUGGGUCUCCUCCUGAGUAGGCCACCCUCCACUGGGUUGGCCCCCACCAGUGUACCCCCAAGUACACCAGCACCUUGGACAUCACCCUAGCCUGAGAAAAUGAUGGGGACAAUGUGCAGUGACCUCUUGGACAUUGGGACGUUCCCCUCCCAGAUGGCCUCUGCCCUCAGGGGGCUGUGACUAUGGCAGCAGUAGCCUGGAGGCCGAGUUGCACACAUGCCUCUUGCUAAGCGACCCUGACAAUCAUACAGAGUACUAUGUUUCUGGAAUAGCUAACUGCCUCUCAGACCCUGCCUCUAUCAAAUGCUUGUAAAACUGAGUGAGUCCCCUGCCAACUGCCUGAUACCAGGCAGCACUUGGCCUUUAUGACAAGCUGAACAAUGGAUUUUAAGCCACACCAACCACUAGAGGCAUUUCUUGUGUCAUCCCAGCUUGACCCACCUGGACCUCACAGGGUAGGGACCUCUUGUUACAGAGCUCACUGCUCCUAGGACACAGCUUCUGCUUUGCACACAACACAUCCAGCACCCUGCUCCCUUGUUCUCACCACCGCCUCCGGCAUCAUGGGCACCAACUUUACUCCUGCAUGUAGGCUGCAUCUUCCCCUGGGGACUCACCGCCCUCAAUGGUCAUGCCUCAGCAGACUUUACUGUGGACUUGACUUCCAGUCCAGGAGCAAGUCCGCUAGACUAUGUUCCCAUCACAAGGCAUCUGAACAACUCAGGACAGGACAGGCUGAGCUCAAGAUAUCGGGUCAUGCAGAACAUAACAGAAAUACUCAAUUGCCCCAUCCCCGAGGUCCCGAUUUGUUCCCAGGGCUCCCACCAGGCACCUGGGGCCAGUGGCUGAGAACAGGACCGCCCAUGGCAGCGAGCCGAUCCAUCCCAGGCUCUGAGGAGACAGCCUCGGUUAAAUGUGGGUGGCUUCAGAAAUAUGGCCUUUAAUAUAUCCGCUCCCCAAGCGAUCGCUACAGACGGCCAGGUGUCCCGCCUGGACAUCCGCCUUUGGGCAACCUUGAGAGUUGGCAGGUGGAUCACUUGCCCAAGCAGGAAGUGACAGCAACACAGAGCCCGGUGGUCUCCAAGCCUUACCCGGGACUUUGUAAAGAUGCCUUCGCAUUUGACUACAAUGGGCAACCUGUUCUGCUCUGAAAGUUCUCAUUCUCUGUCAGCAGAAGUUCUCACACCUCCUUCCUGAUAGAGGCUGCUGGGUAAGUGAGACCCCUUCUUUCUGCCCCUGGGAUGCUCAGCCUAUGCUGGGGGCAUCGUGUGCGGAGAUCCUGCUUUGCUGGGUGAUACAGCACCCUGUCCUGCAUGCUCACAAGCGGAGUCUUGUCAACACUUGUAUGUCCCUGAGAGGGUGUCCACAGGAAGCCAAAAUAUAUUGGACAAGAAGGUACAGGUCCAUCUGAGGAGGCGGAAUGAGCCGAUGCAAGCUGAGUCCAGGCGAGUAACAGUCCCCAGGCCAGUGUGUACUGGGAAGUGAAGUAGGAGAAGGAGCCUCCAGCCCAACAA